UCUGGGCUCUGUUCUGCAGAGUCGUGGACCACAACAGCUCAUUGCUCAAUCGGGGCAGUCACGUGAAUUUACUUUGGCUCUUUCUCACUUCCUAAAACCCCAACUCCUGGGUGGGUGACAGUGUGCGUGGUAAGUAUAAAUCACUCAUCAACUUCAACAAACAUUUGUUGAGUACGCCGUAUGUCGAAUUCUCUAAAAGACAGUAGGAAUGCGAAAAUCCGUAAACUACAUUUUCAACUCUUGGAUUCAGCUUCAGGAGAUUUUAUAAUCGGAGCUAAAUUAGGAGAGUCCCGUGGGGUCACUACUAAAGUGGAUUCCUUUUUGUUUUGUUUUUGUUGUUGUUUUUUUUUUUUUUUUUUUUUUGCUAAAAAUUAUUCACUACCCCUCCACCUCCAGGGGAGAAUACUUUCAUUUUUCCAUUUUUCCACCUGUUGAUUUUUGGGCUUGCCAACGUGGUCUGCUUUGGCCAAGAGGAACAAUGGCAGACAACUGACCUGAGGCUUGAAACAUGCUGCGCAGUGGGAAUCGCCCUCUGGUACCCCCACCAUUAUCACGAGGAGAGUUUCUCCCCGGGGUGAGAUGCCUGGAGCAGACCUGAGCCCAACCCAAGUGUGAAGCCCAGCCCAGCUGACCCAAGUUUGAGGCAGAACCGCCCAGCUGAGCCCAGCCAGGACCAGCCAACUUCCCGCUGACCCAAGAUGCAUGGGGGCGAAUGACUGCUGCUUUAAGCCUCUUUCUUUUGGACUGGCGUGUUACCCAGAACUUGCUGACCAAUACAGUUUGGUGACUGCAAAAGCUAUAAAGGCAGAUACAGAGGGGCUGUUUGGGGGACUCAGAUGACACGAGCCAUGUUGCUAUCACUCAUGUGCUCCUUUAGUGGUGGGAAACCGCGACACCCACAACCACCACAAAUGCCAACAUCCGCGUGGUUGCCGCAGUGAAGGUGCUUCGGGCCGGAUCCUACUCCCGGCUCCACUUCUUCACCCCCGCCCCACGCCCUUGGCCGUGUUCAGAAUGCUUGGCCCCCUGACUUGCCCGAGCUGAAAGCACACGGUGGAAGGGACAGCGGGGCCCCGAGCCCGGGCCUCGACGCCUCCAGACGCCUGUCCCUUUCUUCUGAUUCCUGUGCUCCUGCCAUUCCCACGAGGAAGGCACGUCCAGGCGGGCGCACCGGUUCCAGGAGGAGGAUGAGAGACACGUGGGGCUGAGCCGGAUGAUCCUGCCAAGGGGACCCUGGACAAGCCAGUCCCCCAGGCCCGCCAGGAUGGGAAGGCCCAGCCCGUGUGCCACCUGAAAGAGCAGCAUGACAGGUGCCACUACGAUGACAACAUCUGCCUCUUGCGGUCUCUUCCCUGCCCCCCGACGUCCGCGCAAACCCAAGCCGGUCCCUCUGGCCCUGUGGACGCUCCCACCACAUGGGCUUAAAGUGGAGAGGGUUGGCCUCCCAAGGGAAUCGGGGUCUGGUGCACAGGCAGGCUGCUCAGGCCUCACAGCGACAUGCUCCUCGGGCUCCCAGCCUGUCUCCGCAGUAGGUCUGGAGGCUGGGGUGCUUGUACCCCACUACCAAAGCAGGGGGCAAGCCCUCCGGGUCCCUGUGGGAAGCUCCAUGAUUUGUCCACAUCCUCGGGGAAGGGGGUCACCGAAUCGGGCCCGUCUUAGUGGCAUCAGAGAUUUCCCUCUGCGGGAUGGAGAGGCCUGAGCCCGGCUCUGCGCGUAGGCCUCGGGGACCUGCGUCCAGCUCCGCCGCUGGUUUCCCUUGAGCAUCCUGCUAUGUCCCCCGACGUCCCUCCGCUCAAGGAUUUUCCUGUGCAGACACACAAUAAAAAGAAAUAUUCUCAGCUUCUUGUUAUGAGCCCCUAUCUGGGCCCCUCUCAGCAAAUAUUCAACACGCAUGACUUUUACUGUGUCUAACUGAAUAUUGGGUGAGUGGUUUGUUUGUUUGUUUUUUCUUCCCCAAAUU